rnacentral:rRNA from 1 species
UGGGGAAUAUUGCACAAUGGGGAAACCCUGAUGCAGCGACGCCGCGUGGAGGAAGAAGGUCUUCGGAUUGUAAACUCCUGUUGUUGAGGAAGAUAAUGACGGUACUCAACAAGGAAGUGACGGCUAACUACGUGCCAGCAGCCGCGGUAAAACGUAGGUCACAAGCGUUGUCCGGAUUUACUGGGUGUAAAGGGCGUGCAGCCGGAGAGACAAGUCAGAUGUGAAAUCCGCGGGCUUAACCCGCGAACUGCAUUUGAAACUGUUUCCCUUGAGUAUCGGAGAGGUAAUCGGAAUUCCUAGUGUAGCGGUGAAAUGCGUAGAUAUUAGGAAGAACACCAGUGGCGAAGGCGGAUUACUGGACGACAACUGACGGUGAGGCGCGAAAGCGUGGGGAGCAAACAGGAUUAGAUACCCUGGUAGU